GCUACAAACCAGCAGAAACCCAGCUCCUGUGACCGCUCCCCAUCUCCCUGCACCAUGGCCCAGCCCACGCUGCCUCUCUGUCUCCUGGGGCUUUUCCUGACAGGUUGCUACGCUCAGGUGACUCAGCCGCCCUCCGAGUUCGUGUCUCCCGGGGGGAAUGUCCAGCUCCCCUGCACGCUAGAGGGCAGUUACACCGUCAGUGCCAACCGUGUCGUUUGGAUACAGCAGAGGCUGGGCAGCGUCCCAAGAUACCUGCUGUAUUUUUUCACUGAAUCUAACAAAGGCCUGGGCUCGGGGGUCCCCAGCCGGUUCGCUGGCUCUCGCUCUGGCUCCGACAAGAUUGGCUAUUUAACCAUCACUGGGGCCCAGGCAGAGGACGAUGCCGUCUAUUACUGUGUUAC